AUGUGGACGAGGCCUCCAAGAAGGAGAUC
rnacentral:piRNA from 1 species